GCCUGGCACGUUGAUAGCUGGAAGACAGGAGUGGCAGAGAAUCCCGAGACUCAGGGUGAGUUAGACACCACCUGCCAGAGGCUCAGGGACGAUCACAAUUCCUCAUGAGCUUUUUGCAUCUUGGCCUAGGAAGAGGCCUCAGAGACAAGGGACUUGGGCACAUGCUGCAUUGGAUAUGGGGGAUUCUCCCUUGAGCUGUGGCCUGCUAACUGAGCAAUGACUUGCCCUGGCUCCUCCACAUGUCCACAUGCCUUCUGGGUCCCAAGUAAAGGGAUGGACUGGCUGUAUCCGUGGAAGGAAGGAUUUUGCUGGAAAAGUUAACCAGGGUCCCCUCUUCCCAGAGGCCCUUCGGCCUUUCCGUUCUUCACCUUGGGACCCGGAGGCACCUGAGUAGAUCCUGUGGUGGCUGGCUGUUUGUUUGCACUCUUUCUCCCUUCGUUUUCCUCCCUCCCUCCCUCUCUCCUCCCUCUUCCCUCCCCUCCCUCCCCACACCUCACUUCAGGGACUUAGAAGGAAGUGUGCUGGCCCUUGGAGGUUUGCAGCUGCUGAGUGGGAGACGUUGGGGUGUCUGAGACGAGAGCCUCAGAGCCAUCAGCUCCACUCCCAUUGUUUAAGAAGGGACGGUGACUCAAGGAAGGUUCGUUUCAGGACACCUGCUCACAGAGCUGUCCCCUUAUUUUGGCCAAGUCUCUGUGGCUGUAUGCCUUAUACCACCAUGCUGGGCAUCUCAAGGAGUUCCCAAG
rnacentral:lncRNA from 1 species